AUGGAGAGAUUGGUGACAGAAAGGUUAACGUACGAGCUUGAGAAGAAAGGGUUGUUGACAAGUUGUCAAAGUGGUUUCAGAAAAGGGAGACAUAAAAUGGAUGCAGUGGUAAGGCUUGAAAAUGAGAUACGGAAAGCACAGGCAAACAAAGAGUCAGUGGUGGUAGUGUUUUUUGAUAUCGAAAAAGCAUAUGACAUGAUGUGGAGGGAAGGUUUGUUAAUUAAGUUGUAUAAGAUGGGGGUAGGUGGAAGGGUUUUUAACUGGAUAAAGAAUUUUUUGUUUGACAGAAAAAUACAAGUCCGGAUUGGGUCUGAAUUGUCAAAUAAGUAUAUGGUGGGGAAUGGCACUCCCCAAGGAAGUGUAAUUAGUCCUUUAUUGUUUAUAAUCAUGAUAAAUGAUGUUUUUUCGGGGGUGCCAGAGGAUAUAGGAAGUUCUCUGUUUGCAGACGAUGGGGCUUUGUGGAAAAGGGGAAGAAAUGUGAUGCAUAUUAUUAGUAAAGUCCAGUCUGCAAUUGAUGGGGUGACAGAGUGGGGAUUUGACUGGGGGUGCAGAUUUUCGGUAGAGAAAACGCAAACUGUAUUUUUCACUAGGAAAAGAAUUGUGGAUGGGAUGAAAUUGAGGAUGUAUGGGAAAGAGUUGGAAAGAUUUGGCUCAUUUAAAUAUUUGGGAGUUAUUUUUGAUUCUAGGGUAACGUGGGCAGACCAUAUUAGGAAGAUUGAGGAUAAAUGCAAAAAGGUAAUAAAUGUGAUGAGAUGUUUGACUGGUAGGGAUUGGGGAGCGAGCUGUUCAGCUUUAAAGACUAUAUAUGUAGCUAUGAUUAGAUCUGUGUUUGAUUAUGGGUGUGUAGUGUAUGGGUCAGCCGCAGUGUCUCUCUUGAGAAAGCUGGACGUGAUUCAGGCUAAGGCAUUAAGGGUAUGCAGUGGGGCUUUUAAAUCAUCACCAGUGCCUGCCCUGCAGGUAGAAAUGGGGGAAAUGCCACUGGAGUUGAGAAGGAAACAUUUGAUGGGGAACUAUUGGGCUAAUCUGCGAGGGCACAGUGAGUUUCACCCUACAAAAGGAGUGUUGAAAGAGUGCUGGGUUUAUGGGAAGUGUGAGAGGAAUCAUUUUGGUCGGGUGGGGAAUGAUAUAGCGAAAGAGUUUGGUGUGGGUGAAUUGAAGAUUAGUCCAACAGUGGUAUAUCCAUUAUUGCCGCCAUGGAGGAUGGUGUGGCCAGAGGUGGACUGGUUUGUGUUGGGUAUAAAGAAGAGAGAGAGAGAACAGAUAGACCUGGCUAGUGUUUUUAAUAUUCAUCUUCUUAUAGAGUACAGUGAGUAUGUUCAUGUUUUUACAGAUGGUGCCAAACAACCUGAGACAGGAGCGACAGGGUUUGGAGUAGUUGUUCCAUUAAAAAGAAUAGAGUUUAAUAGAAGAACAUCAGAUAAUUUAAGCGUUUAUACAGUGGAGAUGUUGGGGGUGCUGGUCGCUUUAAAAUGGGUGGAAUCAAGUUCAGUUGGAAAAAUUGUGAUCUGUACAGAUUCAGCAUCAGUUUUGGCAAGUAUGAGGUCUUUUUAUUCAAGUAGUCGCCAAGGUUUGUUGUAUGAAGUUUUACAGUCGAUUACGAGAAUCGUUCAGCAGGGGAGGUAA
ensembl:lncRNA